GAUGAACGCUGGCGGCGUGCCUAAUACAUGCAAGUCGAGCGAACGGACGAGAAGCUUGCUUCUCUGAUGUUAGCGGCGGACGGGUGAGUAACACGUGGAUAACCUACCUAUAAGACUGGGAUAACUUCGGGAAACCGGAGCUAAUACCGGAUGAUAUUUUGAACCGCAUGGUUCAAAAGUGAAAGACGGUCUUGCUGUCACUUAUAGAUGGAUCCGCGCUGCAUUAGCUAGUUGGUAAGGUAACGGCUUACCAAGGCAACGAUGCAUAGCCGACCUGAGAGGGUGAUCGGCCACACUGGAAGUGAGACACGGUCCAGACUCCUACGGGAGGCAGCAGUAGGGAAUCUUCCGCAAUGGGCGAAAGCCUGACGGAGCAACGCCGCGUGAGUGAUGAAGGUCUUCGGAUCGUAAAACUCUGUUAUUAGGGAAGAACAUAUGUGUAAGUAGCUGUGCACAUCUUGACGGUACCUAAUCAGAAAGCCACGGCUAACUACGUG
rnacentral:rRNA from 1 species